rnacentral:rRNA from 1 species
AAACUUAAGAGUUUGAUUCUGGCUCAGGACGAACGCUGGCGGUGUGCUUAAUACAUGCAAGUCGAGCGGAGAUUGAGAAGCUUGCUUCUUAAUCUUAGCGGCGGACGGGUGAGUAACGCGUGAGCAACCUGCCUAUAUCUGGGGAACAACAGUUGGAAACGACUGCUAAUACCGCAUAAGACCACAGUGGGGCAUCCCACAGGGGCCAAAGAUUUAUCGG